GACGAACGCUGGCGGCGUGCUUAACACAUGCAAGUCGAACGAAGUGGCAAACGGGUGAGUAACACGUAAACAACCUGCCUUCAGGAUGGGGACAACAGACGGAAACGACUGCUAAUACCGAAUACCUGAAGAGGGGUUUGCGUCUGAUUAGGUAGUUGGUGAGGUAACGGCCCACCAAGCCGACGAUCAGUAGCCGGUCUGAGAGGAUGAACGGCCACACUGGAACUGAGACACGGUCCAGACUCCUACGGGAGGCAGCAGUGGGGAAUCUUCCGCAAUGGGCGAAAGCCUGACGGAGCAACGCCGCGUGAGUGAUGACGGCCUUCGGGUUGUAAAGCUCUGUGAUCGGGGACGCGGUACCCGAAUAGCAAGCCACGGCUAACUACGUGCCAGCAGCCGCGGUAAUACGUAGGUGGCAAGCGUUGUCCGGAAUUAUUGGGCGUAAAGCGCGCGCAGGCGGUUCUUAAGUCCAUCUUAAAAGCGCGGGGCUUAACCCCGUGAUGGGAUGGAAACUGA
rnacentral:rRNA from 1 species